UUCAGCCAUUGAAACCCAGCAGAGGAGCAGGCAGGGAAGGGAGGGUGGAAGGACAGAGGCUCCCCUUUCUUCUGGGCUUGGUUCCGGAGGAGGCCAAAAGAGAGUUUACCAGGGAAGCAAUUUGAAGGCAAAAGUCCACUCUAAAGUGAAGGUUUCCUCUGGACCAGUCUUUGCCGCUGCUGUGUUUGUUCCCAGCCUCACUCCGAGUCAAGGAAGCACCUGAAUCCACAAGAGGCUAAUGCACUUCUUAGAUACUUUUUUGGGGGAGACAAGUUUCCUGUCUUUUGUCCUUGAUUUAUUAUUGCUUUUAUUUGUUCUCCUCCAUUUAGUUCAUUUUAUUCUGAUUUUAAAAGAACAGCUCGCAGGCCCUCCUAUUUUCAUGGAAAUUGCUCAGCAAUAACAAUUUCAGAUAGCUCGCAGAAGAAUAGUCAUCAUGCCAGGGCCAGUUCACCCAAGAUGCUUUGCAGGCAUUUCACAUAACAAUUUACUAAUUAAUGGCAAAUUAAAUGGAAUUUAGUAAGAAGAAUCAGAGGUUAGAGUGCCGGUAUAUAUUAUGUAUAAAAAAGGUAUGCAAAUAUCUUCAGCCCAUUUGUGGUUCAUAAGUGGGAAAUAAUAGCUUUUCUGCUCAGAACCCUCACAGACAGGAGGGCUGUUGCAUCGAGGCAGAACUUCAAAUUACAUAUAAUUCUAAUUUUUUAACAGUUUCGUUGAUUAUACAUUGUGCCUCCAUUUUCCAGAUACAAUGAACUUAGUCUUCCUUGUUUUAAUAGUUUAGAGUUAUGGAAAGUCACCUAUACUUUGCUGCUUAUAUUAACUGCAUAUUGAAGGCUAGAAGUCAUGUUUGGGAAAGUUUUUACUAUUGACCUAGUUAGCUUUGAUUGUCGACUUGGCACAACCUAGGAGCCUCAGAUAGGAUUAGCUUAUGGGAGGUCUGUGGGGAGUUUUCUUGAUUGUUAAUUGAUUUAGGAGGGGCAAGCUCACUUUGGGCAGCACUUUUACCUGGGCUGGUGGCCUUGUGCUGGGUAAGAAGUCUAGCUAAGCAUGAGCUUUCGAGCCAGCAACCAGGUUUUCCAAUGGUCUCUACUUCAUGUUCCUGUUUGAGCUCCUGUCCUGACUUCCCUCAGUGAUGGACUAUGACCUAGAAAUAUAAACUCAAUGAAUCCUUUCUUCUCCUAAGUUACUUUUAGUCAGAGUGUUUUACCACAGUGACAUAAUAAAACCAGAACGAUCACUGAUUCCAAUCUCCUACAGUAGAUCCAGUACAUACUGGAAAACUACAGGCUUUCUGCUUUUGUAAAUAAAGCUUUAUUGGAAUACAUUCCUCCAGAAGCCGUCCACGGAGACCACGAUCAGGAAGCCUGGGCCGGCUGCCUAUGAGAGGUGAACACAAGAGAUUCCCCUGAAGGUCACAGACCGGCUGGUUGGUGUAUGCAAAAGAGAAAGAGAGACCCUGUUUGAAAAAGGCUGAAGGUUUGCUGAGUUGAAUGCCAAAGAGUCUUCGAAGGACGAUUUCCAUUCAGGGAGAUCCGGUUACCCAGCUCCUAGAAAAGGAAGAAGACAUUCCUUAGGGCAGCAAUCCACACAUUGUUGGAACUAAAACAGUGGACACUGUGGAGACACAGGAUUUGACUUUCUCCCCUACUGUGAUGACGAUCCCAGUAUUUACUGCCACCAGUAUUGAUCAAAGGUACCAGAUCUCCUGUCAAGAGACAUUGUACUGAAUGGAAGAACUUCUUGAUAUUCUCCUAAUAAAGGAUACAAAGUCUUCCCGGAUAACCUGGAUGGUGAAAACUGUUCCUUCAUGGAAUGUCACCAUGUGGCACAAUCAUACUUCACUUGAGCCAUAGAAAAUUCAAACACUCCCAAAACAACUAGUACACCAUGGAGAGAGAAAAUCUAAUGGCUUCAUGUUAUAGUUUGAAUUUGAAAUGCUCCCCACAGGUUCAUGUAUUUAAUUUGGUGAUACCAUUUGGGAAUACUGUGUGACAUGUAGGGGUCACACCUUGAUGGGAGAAGUGCAUCACGAGGGGCGGGCCUUGAGAAGCCUAGUCCACUUCCUGUUUACUCUACAUGUUUCACAACUAUGUAUGCCAUGUGACCAGCUGUCCUCUGGCUCCAGCUGCCACUCCCUCCAUGUUGUGAUGGAAAACAGUCCCUUGAACUAUAAAAGAGAAUAAACAGCCAAGUCCCAACUCACCAAAAUCUGUUAUCAGUAAUGACUUGCCCUAUAAAAAUUUCACUAAUAAUGUCCAUGAAAAAAAUGGUUAAAACCUUUAGGGGUAUCCAUCUUUUGACAUUACAACAUGACAAUGUCAUCUACAAAUGUUCUGGGUAGGAUUUGUAGCUAUAGGAGAGUAGAAGAUACCUGAGAAUCACAAGUGGCAGCUUGGACACACCUGCCAAAUAACAGGGUCCCUAACUUGAGACGGUUUAACUUACAUUCUUCAAUUUUAUUGUUCUACAAGAUCGAUAAGCAUCCGGUAAGUACUAUACUUCAAAUCUUUCAUCUGGAUCUUUUCCAAGGCUGGUCUUGUUAAGCAGCUAGCCACAUUCUUUCGUUGACUAUUUGUAAGUUUUGAUGCUCAGUAGGUCCUAUUAUUAAAUGCUUUUUGACACAAAGAUAAUUUCAAUUUAUGGAUGUUUAUGAGGAUGUAACUCAGUUCUAACUCAAAGAGCAGUUGGAGCUUCUUUGACAAUAUUGUUAAUUAAACAGGGAGUGUGCACUGUAAUGAGAAAGAAGACUGAACUGAAGGAAAACUGGAAGGUGUCAUGGAGUGCGGAACAAAGGCACAUGAAGAACUGAUGGCUUCCCAGGACUUCUGUCACGAUGGGGUGGCCUGGAACAAGAGAAAUAUAUUGCCACUCUGUUCUGGAGCCUGGAAGUCCUGAGUUGAAAUGUCAGCAGAGCCAUACUCCACAGAAGAUUCUAGUAACAAAUUCUUCUAGCCCCUGGCCUCCUCUACGCUGGUCUGUAGCCUCUGGGGUCCCAGGUUCAGAAAUUUAUCAACAUGGCAGGAAGAAUGGCAACCCAUAGGCAGAC
rnacentral:lncRNA from 1 species